rnacentral:rRNA from 2 species
AAAGAAACCAACAGGGAUUGCCUCAGUAACGGCGAGUGAAGCGGCAAGAGCUCAAAUUUGAAAUCUGGCUCCUUCGGGGUCCGAGUUGUAAUUUGUAGAGGAUGCUUCGGGUGCGGCCCCCGUCUAAGUGCUCUGGAACGGGCCAUCGGAGAGGGUGAAAAUCCCGUCUGGGACGGGGUGUCCGCGUCCAUGUGAAGCUCCUUCGACGAGUCGAGUUGUUUGGGAAUGCAGCUCUAAAUGGGUGGUAAAUUUCAUCUAAAGCUAAAUACUGGCCGGAGACCGAUAGCGCACAAGUAGAGUGAUCGAAAGAUGAAAAGCACUUUGAAAAGAGAGUUAAACAGCACGUGAAAUUGUUGAAAGGGAAGCGCUUGCGACCAGACUCGCUUCCGGGGUUCAGCCGGCUUUCGGGCCGGUGUACUUCCCCGGGGGCGGGCCAGCGUCGGUUUGGGCGGCCGGUCAAAGGCCCCUGGAAUGUAACGCCCCUCGGGGCGCCUUAUAGCCAGGGGUGUCAUGCGGCCAGCCUGGACCGAGGAACGCGCUUCGGCACGGACGCUGGCAUAAUGGUCGUAAACGAC